GCAACGAUAGCUCAAUUUAAGAGCACCGGUCUUGUAAACCGGAGGCCGGAGGUUAAAAUCCUCCUCGCUGCU
rnacentral:tRNA from 1 species